GUCCUCUGAUGAGGUUAUUAGUGUCCACAGUGAAGACUUGAUACUGGAAGCUUUCAAGAAGAUGAAAGAUAAUCACAGUAACCGUCUUCCGGUUGUAGAAGUAACAAAGAAGCAAAUGAGAACUUGGAGAAUGAAAGAACAUCAGGAGCAUGUUUUCGCCAAGAAGAUAGCAAUUGUGGAAACAGUGGAUUGACAUGCCUUUCAAGAUAAAGAUGCAGACACAAUACUGGACCAAUUCGACGGUGGAACGAACAAUGAUGAAGAAAUAGAACAGUGUUCUUUUUAGCAUUUUGGAGAUGAAGAACCAUUAAUUAAUUCAAGAAUCCGAAGUGAUCAAACAAAUCUUCAUAGAAAAUGAAAGAACUCAUUGUUGGAGAUACAUCAAAUGACAAUGAAAACAGAGUUGUUCAAAGAUGGUUGAGACAUGAACUUUUGGAUAUGCAGAUAUCAGUUUCUGA